CCUACGGGAGGCUGCAGUGGGGGAUAUUGCACAAUGGGGGAAACCCUGAUGCAGCGACGCCGCGUGGGCGAAGAAGUAUUUCGGUAUGUAAAGCCCUAUCAGCAGGGAAGAAGUACUGACGUUACCUGAGUAAGACGCACCGGCUAAAUACGUGCCAGCCGCAGCGGUAGUACGUAGGGUGCAAGCGUUAUCCGGAUGUACUGGGUGUAAAGGGAGCGCAGGCGGCACGGCAAGCCUGAUGUGAAAGCCCUCGGCCCAACCGUGGGACUGCUUUGGGAACUACCGGGCUGGAGUGCAGGAGAGGUAGGCGGAAUUCCUAGUGUAGCGGUGAAAUGCGUAGAUAUUAGGAGGAACACCAGUGGCGAAGGCGGCCUACUGGACGGUGACUGACGUUGAGGCUCGAAAGCGUGGGGAGCAAACAGGAUUAGAUACCCCAGUAGUC
rnacentral:rRNA from 1 species